rnacentral:rRNA from 1 species
GAUGAACGCUAGCGGCAGGCCUAAUACAUGCAAGUCGAACGGUGUAGCAAUACACAGUGGCGCACGGGUGCGUAACACGUAUGCAACCUACCUAUCAUUGGGGGAUAGCCUUUGGAAACGGAGAUUAAUACCGCAUAAGACAGUAACAUGGCAUCAUGUAGCUGUUAAAGCUUCGGCGAUGAUAGAUGGGCAUGCGUCCAAUUAGUUAGUUGGUGAGGUAACGGCUCACCAAGACGAUGAUUGGUAGGGGAUCUGAGAGGAUAAUCCCCCACACUGGCACUGAGAUACGGGCCAGACUCCUACGGGAGGCAGCAGUAGGGAAUAUUGGGCAAUGGACGGAAGUCUGACCCAGCCAUGCCGCGUGCAGGAUGAAGGCGUUAUGCGUUGUAAACUGCUUUGUUAUAGGAAGAAGGAGACCUUGCGAGGUUUGGUGACGGUACUAUAAGAAUAAGCACCGGCUAACUCCGUGCCAGCCGCCGCCGUAAAAC